rnacentral:tRNA from 3 species
GGCGGCGUAGCUCAACGGUUAGAGCACAGCCCUCAUAAAGCUGGGGUUGGUAGUUCGAUUCUACCCGCCGCCACCA